GACGAACGCUGGCGGCGUGCCUAAUACAUGCAAGUCGAGCGCAGGAAGCCGUCCGAACCCUUCGGGGGAACGACGGUGGAAUGAGCGGCGGACGGGUGAGUAACACGUAAAGAACCUGCCCAUAGGUCUGGGAUAACCACGAGAAAUCGGGGCUAAUACCGGAUGUGUCAUCGGACCGCAUGGUCCGCUGAUGAAAGGCGCUCCGGCGUCGCCCAUGGAUGGCUUUGCGGUGCAUUAGCUAGUUGGUGGGGUAACGGCCCACCAAGGCGACGAUGCAUAGCCGACCUGAGAGGGUGAGCGGCCACACUGGGACUGAGACACGGCCCAGACUCCUACGGGAGGCAGCAGUAGGGAAUCUUCCACAAUGGACGAAAGUCUGAUGGAGCAACGCCGCGUGAACGAUGAAGGCUUUCGGGUCGUAAAGUUCUGUUGUAAGGGAAGAACAAGUGCCGCAGGCAAUGGCGGCACCUUGACGGUACCCUGCGAGAAAGCCACGGCUAACUACGUGCCAGCCGCCGCGGUAACAC
rnacentral:rRNA from 1 species